UCUUUGGUUUAAAUCUAAAUUUCAGAUCCUUUUGUAGAUCCCGCGGUCAAAGCACGGGCAGGAGAAGUUAAGGCGGGGGAGCCGUUUCAGUGGCCAAAUUAUCAGGUUUGGUGAGAAAGCUGUGCUGAAGGUGAGGAGCCAAGAAGGAAUCUCUGUUGUUGCUGCUGAUUUUUCAAGCUUGACUGGGACAAUGAAUCUUUUAAUAAACAACCAAAAAGAUUUGUUCUGCUUCACCUGGUUCAGUUCCGAGGUCAAAGCCUCCAGAUAAAGGGUAGCUGUCUUUGACUGCCUUAUCGCUACUCAA